rnacentral:rRNA from 1 species
GGUGAAAAGCCCGCUCGCCGGAAGACCAAGGGUUCCUGUCCAACGUUAAUCGGGGCAGGGUGAGUCGACCCCUAAGGCGAGGCCGAAAGGCGUAGUCGAUGGGAAACAGGUUAAUAUUCCUGUACUUGGUGUUACUGCGAAGGGGGGACGGAGAAGGCUAUGUUGGCCGGGCGACGGUUGUCCCGGUUUAAGCGUGUAGGCUGGUUUUCCAGGCAAAUCCGGAAAACUAAGGCUGAGGCGUGAUGACGAGGCACUACGGUGCUGAAGCAACAAAUGCCCUGCUUCCAGGAAAAGCCUCUAAGCAUCAGGUAACAUCAAAUCGUACCCCAAACCGACACAGGUGGUCAGGUAGAGAAUACCAAGGCGCUUGAGAGAACUCGGGUGAAGGAACUAGGCAAAAUGGUGCCGUAACUUCGGGAGAAGGCACGCUGAUAUGUAGGUGAAGUCCCUCGCGGAUGGAGCUGAAAUCAGUCGAAGAUACCAGCUGGCUGCAACUGUUUAUUAAAAACACAGCACUGUGCAAACACGAAAGUGGACGUAUACGGUGUGACGCCUGCCCGGUGCCGGAAGGUUAAUUGAUGGGGUCAGCGCAAGCGAAGCUCUUGAUCGAAGCCCCGGUAAACGGCGGCCGUAACUAUAACGGUCCUAAGGUAGCGAAAUUCCUUGUCGGGUAAGUUCCGACCUGCACGAAUGGCGUAAUGAUGGCCAGGCUGUCUCCACCCGAGACUCAGUGAAAUUGAACUCGCUGUGAAGAUGCAGUGUACCCGCGGCAAGACGGAAAGACCCCGUGAACCUUUACUAUAGCUUGACACUGAACAUUGAGCCUUGAUGUGUAGGAUAGGUGGGAGGCUUUGAAGUGUGGACGCCAGUCUGCAUGGAGCCGACCUUGAAAUACCACCCUUUAAUGUUUGAUGUUCUAACGUUGACCCGUAAUCCGGGUUGCGGACAGUGUCUGGUGGGUAGUUUGACUGGGGCGGUCUCCUCCUAAAGAGUAACGGAGGAGCACGAAGGUUGGCUAAUCCUGGUCGGACAUCAGGAGGUUAGUGCAAUGGCAUAAGCCAGCUUGACUGCGAGCGUGACGGCGCGAGCAGGUGCGAAAGCAGGUCAUAGUGAUCCGGUGGUUCUGAAUGGAAGGGCCAUCGCUCAACGGAUAAAAGGUACUCCGGGGAUAACAGGCUGAUACCGCCCAAGAGUUCAUAUCGACGGCGGUGUUUGGCACCUCGAUGUCGGCUCAUCACAUCCUGGGGCUGAAGUAGGUCCCAAGGGUAUGGCUGUUCGCCAUUUAAAGUGGUACGCGAGCUGGGUUUAGAACGUCGUGAGACAGUUCGGUCCCUAUCUGCCGUGGGCGCUGGAGAACUGAGGGGGGCUGCUCCUAGUACGAGAGGACCGGAGUGGACGCAUCACUGGUGUUCGGGUUGUCAUGCCAAUGGCACUGCCCGGUAGCUAAAUGCGGAAGAGAUAAGUGCUGAAAGCAUCUAAGCACGAAACUUGCCCCGAGAUGAGUUCUCCCUGACUCCUUGAGAGUCCUGAAGGAACGUUGAAG